UGGGGAAUUGUUCACAAUGGGCGCAAGCCUGAUGACGCAACGCCGCGUGGAGGAUGAAGGUCUUCGGAUUGUAAACUCCUGUUGCUCGGGACGAAAAGCCUCGACCUAAUACGUCGAGGUCUGACGGUACCGAGUGAGGAAGCCCCGGCUAACUCUGUGCCAGCAGCCGCGGUAAUACAGAGGGGGCAAGCGUUGUUCGGAAUUACUGGGCGUAAAGGGCGCGUAGGCGGCCCGCUAAGUCGAACGUGAAAUCCCCGAGCUCAACUCGGGAACUGCGUCCGAUACUGGCGGGCUUGAAUCCGGGAGAGGGAUGCGGAAUUCCAGGUGUAGCGGUGAAAUGCGUAGAUAUCUGGAGGAACACCGGUGGCGAAGGCGGCAUCCUGGACCGGUAUUGACGCUGAGGCGCGAAAGCUAGGGGAGCAAACGGG
rnacentral:rRNA from 1 species